AACAGAAAGGGUAUGCGACUCUUUAAAAUCUAAAAGUUGUUUGUGUCAGAGUGCACGCUGGAAGUUCUAGAACAUGGCUAAUGUGAUGUAAACAGAGUCAACUGAGUCCCUAAUCAAGAAGCCAUGAGACACAUUUUCUAUCACACUGCUGGUUUUUUAUGUAGUUUGUGUUCCACUUAUGGCAUGUUUUUAACGUUAUUGAUAUUUUAUUGUAUGCAUUUUGAGGCAAGAAUUUUACUUAGGGGUACCAGAGAAAGAUGGCUCAGUCAUAGAUAAUACUUUAUAUUAUUGUAGUAGACCUGGGCUUGGAUCUCAGCUUCCACAUGGAGGCUCACCAACUGACUAAAAAUUUAAUCCUGGGGGGUUCUGACAAGCUAUGUCUGCCUCUACAGUGACUGUAGUCUCAUAGUGCACAUAUAUAUGUGCUGGAAAAACAUUCAUACACACAAAAUGAAGAUGGUUGGUUCAUUGGGCAGAUCCUGACUCUUAAUAAUCAGGGCUGUGUGAGAGUCAGCUCCAGCCUGAGGUAGAAGUCUUUGACUCUGACCUCACCUCCCUCCAGAACUGCAAUUAACAUUUUACUUCCAGUAGGAAUGACAGCCCUGGCUUUGGGAGACCAAAAUUUUCCAGUUGCUAAUUAACAAAGACAAUUAAGUUUUUUUUGUGAAUAUCUUCAAAGAGACAGGGUGUUUUGUAGAAGCGCUGAGUUUUCAUCAUCCAUGAAGGUUGACUGGGGUUAUGGAAAUUGCUGGAGACUUUGAGGUCAUCUUCAUGAGAAAAUUACAGAAGUUUCUAUGUCCUAUCAAA